rnacentral:rRNA from 1 species
CACGUAGGGCGCAAGCGUUGUCCGGAUUUACUGGGCGUAAAGAGCGUGUAGGCGGCCACGCAGGUCCGUUGUGAAAACUGGAGGCUCAACCUUCAGACGUCGACGGAAACCGUGUGGCUAGAGUCCGGAAGAGGAGAGUGGAAUUCCUGGUGUAGCGGUGAAAUGCGCAGAUAUCAGGAAGAACACCAAUGGCGAAGGCAGCUCUCUGGGACGGUACUGACGCUGAGACGCGAAAGCGUGGGGAGCGAACAGG